UUCGGUGGGGAUUAGUGGCGAACGGGUGAGUAACACGUGGGCAAUCUGCCCUGCACUCUGGGACAAGCCCUGGAAACGGGGUCUAAUACCGGAUACGACCAUCUUGGGCAUCCUUGAUGGUGGAAAGCUCCGGCGGUGCAGGAUGAGCCCGCGGCCUAUCAGCUUGUUGGUGAGGUAAUGGCUCACCAAGGCGACGACGGGUAGCCGGCCUGAGAGGGCGACCGGCCACACUGGGACUGAGACACGGCCCAGACUCCUACGGGAGGCAGCAGUGGGGAAUAUUGCACAAUGGGCGAAAGCCUGAUGCAGCGACGCCGCGUGAGGGAUGACGGCCUUCGGGUUGUAAACCUCUUUCAGCAGGGAAGAAGCGAAAGUGACGGUACCUGCAGAAGAAGCGCCGGCUAACUACGUGCCAGCAGCCGCGGUAAUACGUAGGGCGCAAGCGUUGUCCGGAAUUAUUGGGCGUAAAGAGCUCGUAGGCGGCUUGUCACGUCGGUUGUGAAAGCCCGGGGCUUAACCCCGGGUCUGCAGUCGAUACGGGCAGGCUAGAGUUCGGUAGGGGAGAUCGGAAUUCCUGGUGUAGCGGUGAAAUGCGCAGAUAUCAGGAGGAACACCGGUGGCGAAGGCGGAUCUCUGGGCCGAUACUGACGCUGAGGAGCGAAAGCGUGGGGAGCGAACAGGAUUAGAUACCCUGGUAGUCCACGCCGUAAACGGUGGGCACUAGGUGUGGGCAACAUUCCACGUUGUCCGUGCCGCAGCU
rnacentral:rRNA from 1 species